GUUGUUUCAAAAAAUUGUGCAGAAUUUACUAUGUCAUGUUAAGAAUAUUUUAAAACUGUUUAGCCCCGACAAAUGAUGUAAGAGUUUUCAAGUUUAUUUCAGAUAAAUAUGCCGAUAGCAAUAGUAAUGUCAUGGGCGAGCUGUGGCAUGUUGAAGACACGCAAGGAGAAGUCUAUGAGUUUUGACGCCCAUAAGUAUGUCAAUCUUGGUGGUGUCUUGCUAAAGCUACUCAGUAAGCUCCCAUUAUGUGUUGUCAGAGCUCAAAUGAUGUUUAUUUUAGGAAUACAGUCUAAUGAUUAUAUUAAAUUAUCUUUUUAUGUAAGAAAUCCACGCUUAUUAAUAAAGAUUAUUAUUAUAUAAAUAAUUUUGGACCUGACUUUACGCCAUCUUUGGAAAAGUUAGAUCCUAUACUUUACCAAGUUUUGUUAUUGUGCUCUAAAGCAUUUUCAAGUUCCCAUUGAUUGUUAUGAACAGAGACUGGCCAAAAGAUUAAGGUAAAAGGGCUUGUUUGAAAUAUUGAAAAACUUUGUAUGGGACUCAGGGAAAGGGAGAGCAGUUCGAGCUAUUAAAAGGAGAAUUAGGUGCUGCAAAAGGGAUAUACGAAUUAUGUUGAAGCUUCAAGACUGUGCUUCCCAUCUCCUCUUCUGAAUAUGCACCUUAUCCCCUUUCUUCGAUGAGGAAUUAUGGGUUUGUGACAUUGGUGCUUUUAUUGAGAGGAAUCCAACAGCGACGAUGUUUCUACCUUGAUUCAGUGGCGACGACAUCUAGAUAGCUGGAUUUUUCGGGCCGAGUUGUACUUCACAUGCCUUGGCUUCUUCAACAAGGAUUGGCUGCCUCUUCCUUCCUUCUAUCUAGAAGGCGAUGCCCUAGCGUGGUUCGAUUUGUUACUUCACAACAACCAAUUUUAUUAUUGGAACCAUUUCAAGGAGAAGUUUCUUCUGCAUUUUCAGAAACGGACCUUCACUGAUUCGUCGAGAGUGGCAGUUACUUCACAAGCUUGUGUUGACUACCUGAAUUGCGCUACAUUGGUUCCACCAGUGACCUCUGAGUUUGCCUCUACUCAAAUCCCCGAAACUCACGAACCCAAAUCUCGUCUAGUUAAUGGAGACAAGAAUGCGGCUGUCGUAGAUGAGGUAUUUGAUGAAAAUCCCCAAAGUAGUGAACGUGAUAUGCAUAUCUCAGUUUUCAAAGGAUGAAGCUCAGUUAGUUUCUCUUGUUGGCCGAGAUUAUUUUGUGCCUAAAGAGAUGGAACAAUUUGAGAUUUUGUCUAUAGCAUUUGAGGAACUUUUAGAUGCAAUGAAGACAAACUCUGAUUCAGACGAUGGAAAAUCAGAGGAAGACCACAGAGACUGCACUAAGGUGGAGGAAAAUUCAAGCAACUCUGCAGAUCAGGUGUUCGCUAUAAGUCCUCAACGAGAUACUGCCGCACAGCUCCGUCACAUUGCAACUAUGAUGUUGGAUCCUUUCUCUAGCUUGAUCCUAGGUGAUAAGUUUCCUAUUGGUUGAAUACUUGUUGUGCCUGUUAAUAUCAAUUUGGACGAUUGUCAUAUACUUGGUACUUGUUAUUGCUGUCAACCGAGGGCUUGUGCAUCUUUCGACUAUGUGUCUAGAUCACCUAUAGGGACUAUUCCAUUUUGUAGUUGUGUGGAAAAUUGGUUCGACACAAGGCAAGAUUUUAAGGCUGAUUCAUGUGUUGAAUCUGAAGAUUUAACACAAAUUGAGGGAUUUCUUCCACUUAUCACCACAACAGAUUUAGAUGGUGAAUGUGCCGAGAUUGCAGAGUUUUCUCUUUGCUCAUUAAAUCAAUCAUUUGGUCCUUACUGCCUCCUGGUUUUCGGAAUGCCGCAACACAUAAGAGCUUGAAAAAUAGAGUGGUAUUCUCUGGAUGCCAAGCUUCGGGAGGUACACAAAUUUAUGUAGUGCCGCAUGAACAUCUGGAACGAGCUAUGUAAAUGCCUCCUCUGUUGAUAGCAGACCUCCUAAAUGGAUACUUGAAUUGGCGAUAUUUAAAGACAUGUAUCUUGCUGAAUUUUUUAUGGACCCCAUAAUUUUUGAAGAUCAAUAUCUUGAUAAUUUUGGUACAAAGAAAGAGGGUGUCAUUUUGACUAGUGCAAGACAUUCUGUUAAAGUACUUCUUGAAUAUGUAAAUGAAAGUUAUGCUAGGGAUUCAAUGAUAAACGUAUUUUGAGUCAAUUUUCAUGUGUUAAUGGUGCUAAUUUCUUUAUAGCAACUGUUCAAGCAACUGCGCCAGCUCUUAGUGUAUGGGAUCCUGAAAUAAGUUUUGAGUUCUUGGCUCUAAAAGAUUCUACAAAGUAUGUGGCGGUCUUUUUAUUACUGGUACUAGCAGGUUGUGCGUCAUUGCCUAUUCUAACUCUAAGACUAGAGUGUGGGAUCCGGGACAACCAUGGUUUGCGCAUUCCUAAAAUCUGCAGUAUGAUUUGGCACUGUUAGUUACUACUUUACCAAAGGUUACUCAUUUUUAUAUUGCUGAUUGGACUUUUGUGAGGUCUCAAGCACAUAUGGACAUUGCUUUACCUGACAGCUAUUCUUAUGAUGACAAAAAUAAAAGUUUUCUUCCUUGUUUUCUUACGAUAGCCUUAUUCCUUCAUGUAGCUAAUUCCUCUGGAGAAUUGCUUUUGGCCAAGGGUGACACUGCGCUGUUAAGAAACAUCAUAUGCCAAAGUAUAAAAGUUGCUAUACUUGGGGAUAUGCUUGAAGUUGGUCCAACAGAAUUCACGUUCAAUGAGUUGCUAUUACUGUUUUGAUGUGACGCCCAUUUUUAUGUACUUGCACUUGGUGAAACGAGGUUUCUCAUAGUAAGCAAGAAUAUAUAUUGUGCAGGGGAGAUCAAGCUGGUAUGCAUUAAUGAUGCUCAUUACAUGACUUCUGAAAUUAUUAAUUAUGUAAUUACAGGUGAUGUUAUCCUUGACAAUGACAAUAGUCAAAGGUAAUUAGGAUUGAUUUUGGACCUUGUCAACCUUAUUUCCCCUACAACACUAUGUUGUGUAAUGGUUAGCAAGAAUGCGUCAACUGAAUCAUCUUCAAUGAGUCUGGAUUGCUUGAAAAUAAGGUUCAUAUAUGCACUUAUUCUUGGGAGUAUCUGUCAAAUGCUUGCCAGGCUGCUCUACAACCCAAUAUUUUCUUGAUCUCCAAUAUGUUAUUGAUGAUGAUGGAAGGCGCUAUGGUCCUUUGUGGACAACGAGUUCUAUUAAGGAACCCCAAGAUCAUUCUACUUAUUGAGUCCACCAUUGUUCUUGCUACUGGUUUGCAUAGAAUUGUCGAGGAAACUCAAGUCAAGUGUGACCCUCCUCAUGGCAAGAUGCUAGCUUGUUGUCGUAUGGUUAGUGCUGACAUUUUCCCAAAGGUUGUCAAUGUUGUGUUGGCCAACAUCUCAUGUCACCUUGACACAGUGAUAGAUCACAUCUUUUCUUAUCACAGAGACUACCUUCGUAUAGUCACAAUUGGCGGAACAAGUGUUACUAACAUUGUUCUUAACCCGAACCUUAAGGACAAGGUUCUUAUUGAGGAAAGGAGUAUUGUUAUGAACGAGAUUGGCCAAAAGACUAAGGUAAAAGACUUGUUUGAGAUAUUAGAAAACUUUGUAUGGGACCCAGGAAAGAGAGAGCAGUCAAGCUAUUAAAAGGAGAAUUAGGUGUUGCAAAAGGGAUGUACGAAUUAUGUUCAAGCU